rnacentral:rRNA from 1 species
AACGCUAGCUACAGGCUUAACACAUGCNAGUCGAGGGGCAGCAUGCAGGAAGCUUGCUUUCUGCGAUGGCGACCGGCGGAUGGGUGAGUAACGCGUAUCCAACCUGCCCCGUGCUCGGGGACAGCCCUUAGAAAUGAGGAUUAACCCCCGAUGGUGUAGGAAUUCCGCAUGGAUUUCCUACUAAAGUUUACGGCACGGGAUGGGGAUGCGUUCCAUUAGAUAGUAGGCGGGGCAACGGCCCACCUAGUCUACGAUGGAUAGGGGUUCUGAGAGGAAGGUCCCCCACAUUGGAACUGAGACACGGUCCAAACUCCUACGGGAGGCAGCAGUGAGGAAUAUUGGUCAAUGGGCGAGAGCCUGAACCAGCCAAGUAGCGUGGAGGAUGAAUGCCCUACGGGUUGUAAACUCCUUUUGGCGGAGGAUAAAGAUUGCCACGUGUGGCAAGCUGCAGGUAUCCGCCGAAUAAGGGCCGGCUAAUUCCGUGCCAGCAGCCGCGGUAAUACGGAAGGCCCGAGCGUUAUCCGGAUUUAUUGGGUUUAAAGGGAGCGUAGGCGGGAGAUCAAGUCAGCUGUGAAACUGCGCCGCUCAACGGCGCCGAGCAGUUGAAACUGGUUUCCUUGAGUCCGCAAGAGGCGCGUGGAAUUCGUGGUGUAGCGGUGAAAUGCAUAGAUAUCACGAAGAACUCCGAUUG